GCCACUAUGGUUCGGUGGUUGAACGUUAAACUCCCGCCAAAGCUUGAUUUCAAAGGCGGGCCCGGGAUUCGAUUCCCCGUGGUGGUC